GACGAACGCUGGCGGCGUGCCUAAUACAUGCAAGUCGUGCGGACCUUGUUGAAAGCUUGCUUUUAAAAGGUUAGCGGCGGACGGGUGAGUAACACGUGGGCAACCUGCCUGUAAGACUGGGAUAACGCCGGGAAACCGGGGCUAAUACCAGAUCGUUUUUUCCUCCGCAUGGAGGAAAAAGGAAAGGCGGCUUCGGCUGCCACUUACAGAUGGGCCCGCGGCGCAUUAGCUAGUUGGCGGGGUAAUGGCCCACCAAGGCAACGAUGCGUAGCCGACCUGAGAGGGUGAUCGGCCACAUUGGGACUGAGACACGGCCCAAACUCCUACGGGAGGCAGCAGUAGGGAAGCUUCCGCAAGGGACGAAAGUCUGACGGAGCAACGCCGCGUGAGUGAAGAAGGCCUUCGGGUCGUAAAACUCUGUUGCCGGGGAAGAACAAGUGCCGUUCGAACAGGGCGGCGCCUUGACGGUACCCGGCCAGAAAGCCACGGCUAACUACGUG
rnacentral:rRNA from 1 species